rnacentral:tRNA from 1 species
ACGCUAAUAGCUCAAUUGGAUAGAGUAUUGUACUACGGAUGCAAUGGUUGUGGGUUCAAGUCCUGCUUAGCGUA